rnacentral:misc_RNA from 1 species
GAAAUGCGAUAAGUAGUGUGAAUUGCAGAAUUCAGUGAAUCAUCGAAUCUUUGAACGCACAUUGCGCCCCUUGGUAUUCCAUGGGGCAUGCCUGUUCGAACGUCAUUUGUACCCUCAAGCUCUGCUUGGUGUUGGGUGUUUGUCCCCGUCUCCGCGCGUGGACUCGCCCCAAAGUGAUUGGCAGCCGGCGUACUGGUCCCGGAGCGCAGCACAUGUCGCGCAAACGAGUGCCUUGGUACGGCGGCGUCCAUAAGCCCCUCUCUCACGCUCUUGACCUCGGAUCAGGUAGGGAUACCCGCUGAACUUAAGC